ACGAACGCUGGCGGCGUGCUUCACACAUGCCAGUCGAACGGAAAGGCCCUGCUUGCCGGGUACUCGAGUGGCGAACGGGUGAGUAACACGUGGGUGAUCUGCCCUGCACUUCGGGAUAAGCCUGGGAAACUGGGUCUAAUACCGGAUAGGAGCCAUUUUUAGUGUGAUGGUUGGAAAGUUUUUUCGGUGUAGGAUGAGCUCGCGGCCUAUCAGCUUGUUGGUGGGGUAAUGGCCUACCAAGGCGGCGACGGGUAGCCGGCCUGAGAGGGUGGACGGCCACAUUGGGACUGAGAUACGGCCCAGACUCCUACGGGAGGCAGCAGUGGGGAAUAUUGCACAAUGGGCGCAAGCCUGACGCAGCGACGCCGCGUGGGGGAUGACGGCCUUCGGGUUGUAAACUCCUUUCGCUAGGGACGAAGCUUUUGUGACGGUACCUAGAUAAGAAGCACCGGCUAACUACGUG
rnacentral:rRNA from 1 species